UACGGAGGAUCCGAGCGUUAUCCGGAAUCAUUGGGUUUAAAGGGUCCGUAGGCUGGACAAUCAGUCAGUGGUGAAAGUUUGUGGCUCAACCAUAAAAUUGCCAUUGAUACUGUUGUUCUUGAGUUAUUGUGAAGUGGUUAGAAUGUGUAGUGUAGCGGUGAAAUGCAUAGAUAUUACACAGAAUACCAAUUGCGAAGGCAGAUCACUAACAAUGAACUGACGCUGAUGGACGAAAGCGUAGGUAGCGAACAGG
rnacentral:misc_RNA from 1 species